AUCCAUCUGACAAUUCUCAAAUAGGACUAAACACGCGUCCUGGAU
rnacentral:hammerhead_ribozyme from 1 species